CCGCCGCCACCAUACGUCUACUCAUCACCUCCACCACCAGUAAAGUCACCACCACCACCGUACGUGUAUUCAUCACCUCCACCACCCGUGAAGUCACCGCCACCACCGUAUGUGUACUCAUCACCUCCACCACCUGUAAAGUCACCGCCACCACCAUAUGUGUACUCAUCACCUCCACCACCUGUGAAGUCACCUCCACCACCAUACGUCUACUCAUCACCUCCACCACCCGUAAAAUUACCGCCACCACCAUACGUGUACUCAUCACCUCCACCACCCGUGAAGUCACCACCAGCACCGUAUGUGUACUCAUCACCUCCACCACGGGUGAAGCCACCACCACCACCAUACGUGUACUCAUCACCUCCACCACCGGUAAAGUCACCGCCACCACCAUACGUGUACUCAUCACCUCCCCCACCCGUGAAGUCACCGCCACCACCGUAUGUGUACUCAUCACCUCCACCACCCGUGAAGUCACCGCCACCACCUUAUGUGUACUCAUCACCUCCACCACCUGUAAAGUCACCGCCACCACCAUAUGUGUACUCAUCACCUCCACCACCUGUGAAGUCACCACCACCACCAUACGUCUACUCAUCACCUCCACCACCCGUAAAAUCACCGCCACCACCAUAUGUCUACUCAUCACCUCCACCACCCGUAAAAUCUCCGCCACCACCAUACGUCUACUCAUCACCUCCACCACCCGUAAAGUCACCUCCACCACCGGCAUACAUCUACGCUUCCCCACCUCCUCCAACC
rnacentral:lncRNA from 1 species